UGAGGAAUAUUGGACAAUGGGCGGAAGCCUGAUCCAGCCAUGCCGCGUGAAGGAUUACGGUCCUAUGGAUUUUAAACUUCUUUUGUACGUGAGCAAUAAGGGUCACGUGUGGCCCGAUGAGAGUAGCGUACGAAUAAGCAUCGGCUAACUCCGUGCCAGCAGCCGCGGUAAUACGGAGGAUGCAAGCGUUAUCCGGAUUCAUUGGGUUUAAAGGGUGCGUAGGCGGCGCAGUAAGUCAGCGGUGAAAUGUACGGGCUUAACCUGUAACGUGCCGUUGAUACUGCCGUGCUAGAGUACUGUUGCCGUGGGAGGAAUGUGUAGUGUAGCGGUGAAAUGCAUAGAUAUUACACAGAACACCGAUUGCGAAGGCAUCUCACGAAGCAGGGACUGACGCUGAUGCACGAAAGUGCGGGGAUCAAACAGG
rnacentral:rRNA from 1 species